UACAAAAUAUUUAAUGUCUAUUGUUUUUUUCAGAUUUAUUCUUCUGCUCUGAUUUUUGUAACUUUUUUUUUUAGUUGUUCUGGAGAAGAUCCAGCACAUAAUUAAUAACAUUUUAUUAAUCAUUAGAUCAGUGAACAAAGCCAUAACAUGAUGACAAUUAGAUUCAUAUCAUUGAACAGCUGGCAACAGUUAAACAAAUUAGCUCUUGCUUUUUUUGCCAUAACAAACAGCAAGAGCAACGUAAGAAUCAUUAUUUCUAGAACAUUUAAGAGUCAAACUGCAUAACUGAAUUAAGCGCUGACCUCGAUCACGGUGACAUCAAAACAAACUUAUUUUCAACAAAUCAUCAACAUCUAAAACCUCUGCCUGUAGUGUGCACACUGAGCAGUGUUCAGUUCAUCUGGGCUAACCCAUGUGGGGCCUUCAUGGAAACCGUGGACAAAACUGGCUGGGCCCCAGUUAGGCUGCCCAGGUGAGACCCAUCUGGGCCCCACCAUGCUGUGUUGGCUGGGU